AACUCAUUUAGCGCAAUGGAAAGCUCAGCCAACUCGGAAAUCUGAUACGUGUUUUAGAAUGUCUGGCGCAUAUUAAAUUUAAAGUGCUACCGUUACAGUCUUUAUUGGCUUGCGGCGCUGGCCAGAGAUGCCAAAGAUGAAGUUACAAAUUGCCAACAACUCGAAACACGAAAUUUUCCAAAAACUGUGCCGCCAACUGGAAAAAUACACAAUCUUUAAAUUCAUCUUCAUUACGCAAAAUGCAUUCAAAAUGAGGUUUUUCUUCUUCAUUUUCUUUUUCCUUUUUUUUCCCAGCGAGCAGCGCAAACUUUCAACAAAAUCCGCAACGAGUGGGGCAAAGAAAAAAGCAACAAUAACAACAUCAAAUGUAAACGUACUCGAACAUUAUACAGAGCCGUUUUAGCCAAAAUUAAAUUACAAAAAUAUAUUCAUAUAUUUCUAUAUAUACAUACAUACAUAACUUUUUCUUGCGUAGAAUAAUAUUUGAAAUUCUCUAGCAAAAUAUUUGGAUUACAUUAUUAAAACGGAUUGCAUUCCAUAAUAAUGCAAAAUGUAAGGUUUGAUUGAUCUCCUCGGUUUCAGCGGAUGACGAUUGAAGAACCCACCCACCAAAUCCUUCUGCGAAUUUGCACCAAAUUUAAUCAUUGUCCAAACGGACAGAUGCACUUCCACAAACAAAAAAACAAAAUGAAAAAGAUUCAAGCAUACUUUGAUUCUAGAAUAUUUAGACAAAAAUUAAAUUUAUUCACAAAUUUUGCUGGAAUAUAAUAAAUAAUAAAAAAUAUAGUA